rnacentral:lncRNA from 1 species
GAUUUUAAAUUCAACAAAAGUGUGAAUGCAUGCCUGAUACACAUACACAAAUUAAUCCACACAUAGUAAGGGCAAUCACCCCAACAAGAUAAGAACUAGAUUUCAUCACCAGAUUCUUGACCAAAUUAGGUGAAUCAAUUCUCACAUAGCCAUCAUUUUAAAUUAAAAUCAAUUAGACGUUGGCCCCUAGGGACAUUCGAGCUCAAUAGGACGAAGAUCACCGAAAGUUGCACCAAUUUCGCUCUGUGGCUCAGUUGAUGUCUGGGCAAGCUUUGUCCC